GUUACUCUAGUUUAAUUAAGAACAUUUAGUUUGCAUCUAAGAAGUGGAUUAUAUCCGCGCGACA
rnacentral:tRNA from 1 species